rnacentral:rRNA from 1 species
GCAGAAGAAGCGCCGGUUAACUACGUGCCAGCAGCCGCGGUAAUACGUAGGGCGCAAGCGUUGUCCGGAAUUAUUGGGCGUAAAGAGCUAGUAGGUGGCUUGUCGCGUCUGCCGUGAAAACCCGAGGCUCAACCUCGGGCGUGCGGUGGGUACGGGCAGGCUAGAGUGUGGUAGGGGAGACUGGAACUCCUGGUGUAGCGGUGAAAUGCGCAGAUAUCAGGAAGAACACCGAUGGCGAAGGCAGGUCUGUGGGCCAUUACUGACACUGAGAAGCGAAAGCAUGGGGAGCGAACAGGAUUAGAUACCCUGGUAGUCCAUGCCGUAAACGUUGGGCACUAGAUGUGGGGAACAUUCCACGUUUUCCGCGUCGUAGCUAACGCAUUAAGUGCCCCGCCUGGGGAGUACGGCCGCAAGGCUAAAACUCAAAGGAAUUGACGGGGGCCCGCACAAGCGGCGGAGCAUGCGGAUUAAUUCGAUGCAACGCGAAGAACCUUACCAAGGCUUGACAUGCACCGGACGACUCCAGAGAUGGGGUUUUCUUCGGACUGGUGCACAGGUGGUGCAUGGUUGUCGUCAGCUCGUGUCGUGAGAUGUUGGGUUAAGUCCCGCAACGAGCGCAACCCUCGUUCCAUGUUGCCAGCGCGUAAUGGCGGGGACUCAUGGGAGACUGCCGGGGUCAACUCGGAGGAAGGUGGGGACGACGUCAAAUCAUCAUGCCCCUUAUGUCUUGGGCUUCACGCAUGCUACAAUGGCCGGUACAAAGGGUUGCGAAACUGUGAGGUGGAGCGAAUCCCAAAAAGCCGGUCUCAGUUCGGAUUGGGGUCUGCAACUCGACCCCAUGAAGUCGGAGUCGCUAGUAAUCGCAGAUCAGCAACGCUGCGGUGAAUACGUUCCCGGGCCUUGUACACACCGCCCGUCAAGUCACGAAAGUCGGUAACACCCGAAGCCAGUGGC